AAUAAACUUAAUAUGUUUUAUCCCUUUUUUAGUUAAAGGAAAGACAGGGGGAAUGGCUUGUAUUUUUUA
rnacentral:tRNA from 1 species